GAUGGAUGAGUCAUCUCACCAUCCGUCUGAGUAUGCUCGGCAUGCCAUCUCAUCUUUCCAGCAGUCUGCUCUGAUUGAUACAAUCUUUUCAAUCUGUCUGUAAUUGGUAGGUACCACAUCCUUUGGUACGGUACCCUAUUACGUCCCCGUCCUUGCGGCUUGAAUCGUGGCUUCUUGCAGAAUCGACAUUCUUCUAGCUUCUCAUCAUCUCUCCAAUAGAUCAUGCAGUUGUCGAUGCAAACAUCUAUCAUCUCCGAAGGCAACCCAAGACUAUAAACCAGUUUCUGAAUCUCAUAAUAAGAAUCAGCAGACACAUUGUCUUCCGGCAAAUACUCUUUAAACAAGUCCGCCC
rnacentral:lncRNA from 1 species